ACCGGGAUUGCCUCAGUAACGGCGAGUGAAGCGGCAAGAGCUCAAAUUUGAAAUCUGGCCCCUCCCCGGGGUCCGAGUUGUAAUUUGGAGAGGAUGCUUCGGGCGCGGCCCCGGUCCAAGUGCCCUGGGACGGGCCGUCGGAGAGGGUGAGAAUCCCGUCUGCGACCGGUGGCCGGGCCUGGGUGAAGCUCCCUCGACGAGUCGAGUUGUUUGGGAAUGCAGCUCUAAAUGGGUGGUAAAUUUCAUCUAAAGCUAAAUAUGGGCCGGAGACCGAUAGCGCACAAGUAGAGUGAUCGAAAGAUGAAAAGCACUUUGGAAAGAGAGUCAAACAGCACGUGAAAUUGUUGAAAGGGAAGCGCUUGCGAUCAGACUCGCCCGGGGAGGUUCAGCCGGCACUUGUGCCGGUGCAUUCCUGCCCGGGCGGGCCAGCGUCGGUUUGGACGGCCCGUCAAAGGCUCCCGGAAGGUAGCGCCCCGCUCGGGGCGUCUUAUAGCCGGGGGUGCCAUGCGGCCUGUCCGGACCGAGGAACGCGCCUUCGGGCUCGGACGCUGGCGUAAUGGUCGUAAGCGGCCCGUCUUGAAACACGGACCAAGGAGUCUAACAUCCACGCGAGUGUUCGGGUGUUCAAAACCCGUCCGCGCAGUGAAAGCGAACGGAGGUGGGAACCCCCUUCCCGGGGGGUGCACCAUCGACCGAUCCUGAUGUCUUCGGAUGGAUUUGAGUAGGAGCGUGGCUGUUGGGACCCGAAAGAUGGUGAACUAUGCCUGAAUAGGGCGAAGCCAGAGGAAACUCUGGUGGAGGCUCGCAGCGGUUCUGACGUGCAAAUCGAUCGUCAAAUUUGGGUAUAGGGGCGAAAGACUAAUCGAACCAUCUG
rnacentral:rRNA from 1 species